rnacentral:rRNA from 1 species
GAUGAACGCUGGCGGCGUGCCUAACACAUGCAAGUCGAACGGAGUCCAGCCUUUAAGACCUUCGGGUCAAAGAGGGGAAGACUGAGUGGCGGACGGGUGAGUAACACGUGGGCAACCUGGCUCAUAGAGGGGGAUAACAGAGAGAAAUUUCUGCUAAUACCGCAUAAGCACACCCUGCCGCAUGGCAGAGGGUGAAAAGAGAAUCGCUAUGAGAUGGACCCGCGUCUGAUUAGCCAGUUGGCAGGGUAAGAGCCUACCAAAGCGACGAUCAGUAGCCGAUCUGAGAGGAUGAACGGCCACAUUGGGACUGAGACACGGCCCAAACUCCUACGGGAGGCAGCAGUGGGGGAUAUUGCACAAUGGGGGGAACCCUGAUGCAGCGACGCCGCGUGAGUGAAGAAGUAUUUCGGUAUGUAAAGCUCUGUCAGCAGGGAAGAUAAUGACAGUACCUGAAUAAGAAGCCCCGGCUAACUACGUG